GGUGCCAACGGGCCGUACAGCGGAGCGUAUGUACAGCUGCCGGUGUGGAAGCCGGCGCGCGUCCACGGCUCGGAGUACACCGCGACCUACCUCCUCCUGGCCGGCACCAAGGACACCGAAUUCGACCCUACACCCGGCGUAUUACCGCCCGAUGUCACCAAUCAGAUAGCAGCUGGCCUCUUUGCUUAUCCAGAAAAAGACACCAAUCCUCGGUUAAACAUAUUCUAUACGGCCGAUGGCGGUAAGACUCUGUGCUACAACUUGAACUGCGGAGGGUUCGUUCAAACAAGCAGGGCCAUCGCCCUGGGCGCUAGCAUCGUCAAUGGUGCAUCCGGUGUAGAUGAUCCCGUACCAUACUUACUAGUUAGUAUAGAAAAGAGCGCUGCUGGGCCUUGGCAUGUGCUGGUGAACGACACGGACCUCGGCUACUACCCUCGACUGUGCUCCGCGGCCCGCCUAGAUAGCUAGCUACAUUAUCCGGUUAGGUGCAUGUAUGCAAAAAAACUUCCUAGUGGCCUGUGGGUGCGCGAUUUUAAGAUUGGAAGUCUGAAGCUAAA